AUAAGUCAACUACGAUUUUUAUUUUGUGACGUCAUGUCGGACGCACAGCUUAUCAUCCCAACUAUAAACAAUUACAGCUGUUUGAAAAUAGCGCCAAAGAUAACAUUUGCUCUUAUUAAUCGAUAUAUCGAUUAAGCUCAGCAGUUACUGUGACGUCAGCUCAAAUGGAACAAAUUUAUUGUGGCAUCCUUCACGGUUUGUAGCCAUGGUAUUACAGUCCUUAAAGAAUCUCGAACCGGGCGCAGCUGUUACGUGGGCGUGUGAAAGAUGUGAAUUGCUGUCUCUUUUUGUCUGGUGAAUAAGAGCAAUUGCAAAAUCUAUUAUAAAUGUGCCGACAGACGACGACCCAAUAAAAAAAAGUGCAAUAGCCGGACGACGGAAUAAAGUCGCCAAAGUGCAAUUGUGUAAAAGUGUGAGUGUGUGUGUGUGUGUCAAGGGGACCUGUGAAAUACACAUUCUGCAGCGCAGGUGCGACUUCUUGGCUACAUACAUACUACACAUAUAUAUAUUUAUAUUAUUAUAUAUUAUAUAUGUAUAUUCAAACAGUAUCAACAAACUGCACACAACAACAAGCAGAUCAAAGGAAU
rnacentral:sRNA from 1 species